rnacentral:rRNA from 1 species
GACGAACCGUGCGAACGUUAUUCGGAAUCACUGGGCUUAAAGGGCGCGUAGGCGGGCGGCCAAGUCAGGGGUGAAAGCCCCCAGCUCAACUGGGGAAGUGCCUCUGAUACUGGUCGCCUCGAGGGAGAUAGGGGCGUGCGGAACUUCCGGUGGAGCGGUGAAAUGCGUAGAUAUCGGAAGGAACACCGGUGGCGAAAGCGGCGCGCUGGAUCUCUUCUGACGCUGAGGCGCGAAAGCCAGGGGAGCGAACGGGAUUAGAUACCCCGGUAGUCCUGGCCCUAAACGUUGGGUACUAGGUUGUGGGCUUACGUGGGCUCACAGCCGAAGCAAAAGUGUUAAGUACCCCGCCUGGGGAGUAUGGUCGCAAGGCUGAA